UACGGGGGGGGCAAGCGUUGUUCGGAAUUACUGGGCGUAAAGGGCUCGUAGGCGGCCAACUAAGUCAGACGUGAAAUCCCUCGGCUUAACCGGGGAACUGCGUCUGAUACUGGAUGGCUUGAGAUUGGGAGAGGGAUGCGGAAUUCCAGGUGUAGCGGUGAAAUGCGUAGAUAUCUGGAGGAACACCGGUGGCGAAGGCGACAUCCUGGACCAACACUGACGCUGAGGCGCGAAAGCGUGGGGAGCAAACAGG
rnacentral:rRNA from 1 species